AAGUUAAAUAGUUGAGCAAGUGAUUUUUCUUAGCAGAAGAAUCAAAACAGGGAAGCCGGUGUGAAUCCGGCGCGGUCCCGCCACUGUAACGGGGAGUUU
rfam:Peptococcaceae bacterium BRH_c23 BRHa_1001598, whole genome shotgun sequence.